CCCAUAGCUCAGUUGGUUAGAGCAGCGGACUCAUAAUCCGAAGGUCCCAGGUUCAAGUCCUGGUGGGC
rnacentral:tRNA from 1 species